rnacentral:lncRNA from 1 species
GUUUGAUUCUUUGUAACCCAGCAUUUGGGACUCUCCUGGUGGUUUUGUGAUAAAGAAUCUGCCUUCCAAUGCAGGAGAUGCCAGUUCAAUCCCUGGGUCAGGAAGAUCCCCUGGAGAAGCGAAUGGCAACCCACUCCAGUAUUCUUGCCUGGAGAAUCCCAUGGACAGAGGAGCCAGUCCGUGGGAUCACAGUCCGUGGGCUACAGUCCGUGGGACCACAGAAGAGUUAGACAUGACAGAGUGGCUAAACAACAACAACAACCCAGCAUUUAGAAAACACACGUGCUACACAAUCCUAUUUUUCCCAACUUGAAAUCUGUUUCCACGCCAGGACACAGACUGGGAGCUGCUGCUAACGUCUCUCACAAUGUCAGCCCCUCUGGAAUUCCUGACCAGGCUUCUCUUCCCUGUCAUCCAUUCCAGGAAUUCACAAACUUCUUCUGUGAAGAAGUAAAUAUUAGGGAGUAUUUUCAGUUUUGUGGGCCAAGAGGCAAAGCUGAGGAAUAGCACAUCAGUGCUUAUGUAACAAGACAGAAAACACAUUUCCGUGUACUUUUUACUGGCAGGGUUCAGAACUUCAUUGAUGAGCACUGAAAUUUGAACCUUGUAUGAUUUUCACAUGUCACAAAAUAUCAUUCUUCUUAUUUUCUUUCCAUCAACUUUUUAAAAGUGUGAAAGCUGAUCACACGCAACAAGGCAGUGGGUGGAACUGGGAGCAGCCUGUAGUUUGGCCAGCCGUGACCUCCCACACAGCACCAAGAAGUCACAUCUCCUGGAGUCCAGUUCCUAGAGCAUCUGUGCUGAAGGACUGUUCAGAGACUCUGCUUGCCCUUCCAGAGGUGCGUGGUCCUGGCAUGAACAUCCGUCGGGAUACACAUCUCCUCAUCCCAGAAGCCAAAAGCGGGCUCUGGACACCUCAACCACUAAAUCUUCCUCAUGAGGUGCUUGUACCGCUGGGGAAGAGGCUAUAAACUAUGCCGAUCAUACUCCUGUCUAAGUGAGCUAGAGUGAUAAAGAUGGAAGACCUGGGAGCGCGCUUUCAUUGAUUAUACCAUCCACCGAUCCCAGACAAGACCGCUGGGCCACGUCAACCACGGAGACCUUCUGGAUAGACCUUCUGGAGCUGUCUCCAGCCUUCCCUUCGGCCCUGGGAGCUCCCCUGCAUCCUUCCAAUAAGCCCCCUUCUUUCUUACAUUAGUCACAGUGGCUACUGUUGCUGGCAACCAAACGCUGUAACUCAGGCACCACUCACUCUUGGGGGAGUGAGGGCAGACAUCCAGAUUUUCAACUCGCUCAGAGCAUCAGGCACAGCCCAAGGCAGCGCAAAGCUGAUCACUGGAGUAAAGGAGGAUGCGUUCACUCCCAGUACCUGUGCAGGUGGGAGGCGUGUGUGUACCUAGCCCAAGGGAAGGCUCUGGCAAGCCAGCCAGCCCAGGACCCUUCCUCCCAUAGGAAAACACUUAGCGGGUUGAGUCUUGAGCCGUAGAACACAGCAAACAGGCAGAGCUGCUUGGCGCUGACGUGCUCCCCGAGCACAGGGCCCUGGACUCUGCAGCAGUGACCUCAGGAGGGAGGGGAUAUAUAUAUAUAUAUAUAUAUAUAUAUAUAUCUAUGACUGAUUCAUGCUGCAGUGCAGCAGAAAGCAGCACAACAUUGUAAAGCAAGUUUCCACUCGUUAAAAAAUAAAUAAAAUUAAUUUUAAAAACCAAGAUCUCUAUUAUAGGUUAAAUUGUGCCUCACCCUCACACAUACACAAAUUCCCAUGUUGAGGUCCUAACCUCUCUCAUUACUUCAGACGGUGACUUAUUUGAAAUCAGUGGUCGUUGUAGACAUAAUUAGUUUAGAUGGGGUCAUACUGGAGUAGGGUGGGCCCUACUCCAAUAUAACUGGUGUCCUUCGGAAAAGGGGAACUUGGAGACAGACAUGAACACAGGGAGAAUGGGAUAUAAAGAUGAAGGCACAGAUUGGGGAGAUGCAUUUUCAAGCUAAGGAACACCAGAGACUGCCAGCAAACCAGCAGAAGCUAGGAGAAAGGCAUGGCACAGACUCUUUCUUCCUCACAGCUCUAAGGAGGAAUUAGUCCUGCUGACACCUUGAUCUUGGAACUCCAGCCUUGAGAACUAUGAGAUAAUAAAUUUAUGUUGUUUAAGGCCCAGAGUUUGUCUGGCAACCUUAGGAAACUAAUAAAGUCUCCUGGCAACUCUUCAUGUAUCCCAAAAUCAUUAUUAUUAUUGUUACUCAUUGUCAUUUUUA